rnacentral:tRNA from 1 species
GCGGGCGUAGCUCAAUGGUAGAGCCCUAGCCUUCCAAGCUAGUGACGCGGGUUCGAUUCCCGUCGCCCGCUCCG